AUUGAACGCUGGCGGCGGGCCUAACACAUGCGAGUCGAGCGGAUGAAGGGAGCUUGCUCCUGGAUUCAGCGGCGGACGGGUGAGUAAUGCCUAGGAAUCUGCCUGGUAGUGGGGGAUAACGUCCGGAAACGGGCGCUAAUACCGCAUACGUCCUGAGGGAGAAAGUGGGGGAUCUUCGGACCUCACGCUAUCAGAUGAGCCUAGGUCGGAUUAGCUAGUUGGUGGGGUAAAGGCCUACCAAGGCGACGAUCCGUAACUGGUCUGAGAGGAUGAUCAGUCACACUGGAACUGAGACACGGUCCAGACUCCUACGGGAGGCAGCAGUGGGGAAUAUUGGACAAUGGGCGAAAGCCUGAUCCAGCCAUGCCGCGUGUGUGAAGAAGGUCUUCGGAUUGUAAAGCACUUUAAGUUGGGAGGAAGGGCAGUAAGUUAAUACCUUGCUGUUUUGACGUUACCAACAGAAUAAGCACCGGCUAACUUCGUG
rnacentral:rRNA from 1 species